rnacentral:lncRNA from 1 species
CCUCACUGCUCCACUGAUCAUAGAGGACCUGCAAUAUGUCUGCCAGCUUUUGAUGAUCCUUGAAGGACCUCUAGUCCGAUGGUGAUUGAGAAUUGGUGUGCUGGAUGGCGGACUGUCUGAGGCUGUAGAGGCCAUCUCGAAAUCUCUACGCAGCCACCUCCUCAAAGGUCCGAUGGCCAGUCUCCUCAUCCUGGAGAGUUUCAAAUCAGUAGUACUCCUGCA